UUUUUUUUUUGCUCUGUUAAUGGGGUAGGAACCGAGGCUCCUCUCGGGGUUUCACAGGCUCUCCUACCCAACUCCUAUUCCGUCUCGUCCUCGUCGUACAGAGUGGUAACUUUCCCCACCACAUAUCCAAGCUUGGGUACACGGGCUUGUCCCAACCCCUUGGGCGGAUGGUGGAGAAAGGCUAAACAGGAGGGG
rfam:Anopheles stephensi strain SDA-500 unplaced genomic scaffold supercont1.531, whole genome shotgun sequence.